rnacentral:tRNA from 1 species
GGCACAGUGGCAGAGUGGUCUAAUGCGUUAGACUCGAAAUCUAAUCUCCUCGGAGGCGCAUGUUCGAAUCAUGCCUGUGUCG